UGAGAAAUCGGCACCCCAAACUAAACACCAACUUCCUAGAAGUGUCACUAAAGUGUAGUAUGACACCACUUCUUCUGUGAACUUUGUACCCACACUAAAGGAGACCUUCACACCGACACCAACACGGGAGACCAACUCUUUACAAGGGAACCCAAAUCUUUUAUUCACCUACUCACAACCUGAUACAACACUCACUUUUACACUCUUUAUGUGGCUACCCUACCAUGAUACCACUACACUACAUGGCAACAUUGUCAUCUUUUCACCUAUGGUUCACAUGCCACUCUGUGCCAUGGUAU
rnacentral:lncRNA from 1 species